rnacentral:rRNA from 1 species
UUGAACGCUGGCGGCAGGCCUAACACAUGCAAGUCGAACGGUAACAGGAAGCAGCUUGCUGCUUUGCUGACGAGUGGCGGACGGGUGAGUAAUGUCUGGGAAACUGCCUGAUGGAGGGGGAUAACUACUGGAAACGGUAGCUAAUACCGCAUAACGUCGCAAGACCAAAGAGGGGGACCUUCGGGCCUCUUGCCAUCGGAUGUGCCCAGAUGGGAUUAGCUUGUUGGUGGGGUAACGGCUCACCAAGGCGACGAUCCCUAGCUGGUCUGAGAGGAUGACCAGCCACACUGGAACUGAGACACGGUCCAGACUCCUACGGGAGGCAGCAGUGGGGAAUAUUGCACAAUGGGCGCAAGCCUGAUGCAGCCAUGCCGCGUGUAUGAAGAAGGCCUUCGGGUUGUAAAGUACUUUCAGCGGGGAGGAAGGGAGUAAAGUUAAUACCUUUACUCAUUGACGUUACCCGCAGAAGAAGCACCGGCUAACUCCGUGCCAGCAGCCGCGGUAAUACGGAGGGUGCAAGCGUUAAUCGGAAUUACUGGGCGUAAAGCGCACGCAGGCGGUUUGUUAAGUCAGAUGUGAAAUCCCCGGGCUCAACCUGGGAACUGCAUCUGAUACUGGCAAGCUUGAGUCUCGUAGAGGGGGGUAGAAUUCCAGGUGUAGCGGUGAAAUGCGUAGAGAUCUGGAGGAAUACCGGUGGCGAAGGCGGCCCCCUGGACGAAGACUGACGCUCAGGUGCGAAAGCGUGGGGAGCAAACAGGAUUAGAUACCCUGGUAGUCCACGCCGUAAACGAUGUCGACUUGGAGGUUGUGCCCUUGAGGCGUGGCUUCCGGAGCUAACGCGUUAAGUCGACCGCCUGGGGAGUACGGCCGCAAGGUUAAAACUCAAAUGAAUUGACGGGGGCCCGCACAAGCGGUGGAGCAUGUGGUUUAAUUCGAUGCAACGCGAAGAACCUUACCUGGUCUUGACAUCCACAGAACUUUCCAGAGAUGGAUUGGUGCCUUCGGGAACUGUGAGACAGGUGCUGCAUGGCUGUCGUCAGCUCGUGUUGUGAAAUGUUGGGUUAAGUCCCACAACGAGCGCAACCCUUAUCCUUUGUUGCCAGCGGUCCGGCCGGGAACUCAAAGGAGACUGCCAGUGAUAAACUGGAGGAAGGUGGGGAUGACGUCAAAUCAUCAUGCCCUAUAUGUCCUGGGCUACACACGUACUACAAUGGGUGUAACAGAGGGAAGCAAGAUAGCGAUAUGGAGCGAAACCCAAAAAGCACCCCCAGUUCGGAUUGAAGGCUGAAAUUCGCCUUUAUGAAGCCGGAAUUGCUAGUAAUGGCAGGUCAGCAUACUGCCGUGAAUACGUUCCCGGGCCUUGUACACACCGCCCGUCACACCAUGGGAGUGGGUUGCAAAAGAAGUAGGUAGCUUAACCUUCGGGAGGGCGCUUACCACUUUGUGAUUCAUGACUGGGGUG